AGGCAGCAGUGGGGAAUAGUUGCACAAUGGGGGAAACCCUGAUGCAGCCAUGCCGCGUGUGUGAAGAAGGCCUUCGGGUUGUAAAGCACUUUCAGUAGGGAGGAAGGUAGUGUAGUUAACACCUGCAUUAUUUGACGUUACCUACAGAAGAAGCACCGGCUAACUCCGUGCCAGCAGCCGCGGUAAUACGGAGGGUGCGAGCGUUAAUCGGAAUUACUGGGCGUAAAGCGCAUGCAGGCGGCCUGUUAAGUCAGAUGUGAAAGCCCGGGGCUUAACCUCGGAAUUGCAUUUGAAACUGGCAGGCUAGAGUCUUGUAGAGGGGGGUAGGAAUUUCAGGUGUAGCGGUGAAAUGCGUAGAGAUCUGAAGGAAUACCAGUGGCGAAGGCGGCCCCCUGGACAAAGACUGACGCUCAGAUGCGAAAGCGUGGGGAGCAAACAGGAUUAGAUACCCUGGUAG
rnacentral:rRNA from 1 species